UGAUUCUUAUUUGUAGUUAUCUGAAAUAUUACUUCCUGACUUUAAAUUUACCUUCUUUCUUUAUCCAUGUACAAGCUCAACACAUGGUGUUCUCUUCUUGAUUCCUGUUGGAAAGGAAGCCAUGCGUCGGUGUACGGCAACGAUUCGGGUGCCUGCGGCAUGAUGGCGCUGCAGAAGCAUGCAGCGUUCUUCGACGGCAAACAAGGAUGCAUUUGUUUUCCACUCAGUUUCUUUUUGUUCCCUACACUUUUUCUCAGAGAGAUUUCUCUAAGUGAUUCUCCGUUUGAUGUUCGUUGAUUCUGUCUCACGUACAAUUUAUCCUCCUUGCAUAUCAGCAUUUUGGGCCCUCGGAUUUGGAUUUGAUGCAGCCUCCACAAUGAGUGCCACCUUCAUCAAUGGCGUCCUUGGCCCCCAGAAAAAACCGCCAAGCCAAUGGAUAUGUGUAGAGGGCCGCAAUGAGGCAGACGGCAGCGGGUGGCAGCAAUAGGGGUUGACGGAUGCUCCGAGACCAUGAAGAGCCUAUUCAAUGAUGAGAAGGAUGACAUAGCGAAUGAGGAUUCCGACAUGGUAGCUCCCACAAUCGCGCAGUUGGAGAGCAUGCACGAGUUCGGUAAACUAUGUAUUCUAUUGGUAUAGCUCUGAAAGGUUAGGAUGCUUUGGGUCGCGGCCUGAACUAUGUAUCUGUGGAUAUUAUUACACUUUCAGCAUGCUAUUUCCUAUUUUUUAGACAUCAAUUUCUGUGAAUUGUGGCUGAACUAUGAUACUUUAGGUUGCAUGCUCAACUAUGUGUAGUGUCAUUACUGCUUUCUCCCCUGAUUGUAUUGUCCUUGCCAUGUUAUCCCCUAAAGGCUUACUCUUGCCAUGUUAUUCCCUAAAUUAUUACUCAUUUCUUCUUUUGCCAGUGCUCCACUUAUGCAUCAUGUAUUUAGUACUCCC